UAACCUGCCCCCGACUCUGGAAUAACCGUGGGAAACGACGUGCUAAUACCGGAUAUGAGACGCACAGGCAUCUGUGGGUCUGGAAAGAUUUAUCGGUCAGGGAUGGACUCGCGGCCUAUCAGCUUGUUGGUGGGGUAAUGGCCUACCAAGGCGACGACGGGUAGCCGGCCUGAGAGGGCGACCGGCCACACUGGGACUGAGAUACGGCCCAGACUCCUACGGGAGGCAGCAGUGGGGAAUAUUGCACAAUGGGCGCAAGCCUGAUGCAGCGACGCCGCGUGAGGGAUGAAGGCCUUCGGGUUGUAAACCUCUUUCAGCAGGGAAGAAGCGAAAGUGACGGUACCUGCAGAAGAAGCGCCGGCUAACUACGUGCCAGCAGCCGCGGUAAUACGUAGGGCGCAAGCGUUGUCCGGAAUUAUUGGGCGUAAAGAGCUCGUAGGCGGUUUGUCGCGUCUGCUGUGAAAACCUGAGGCUCAACCUCGGGCUUGCAGUGGGUACGGGCAGACUANAGUGCGGUAGGGGUGACUGGAAUUCCUGGUGUAGCGGUGGAAUGCGCAGAUAUCAGGAGGAACACCGAUGGCGAAUGCAGGUCACUGGGCCGCAACUGACGCUGAGGAGCGAAAGCAUGGGGAGCGAACAGGAUUAGAUACCCUGGUAGUUCCAUGCCGUAAACGUUGGGCACUAGGUGUGGGGCUCAUUCCACGAGUUCCGUGCCGCAGCAAACGCAUUAAGUGCCCCCGCCUGGGGAGUACGGCCGCCAAGGCUUAAAACUC
rnacentral:rRNA from 1 species